GGAGGUAGGUAGUCUAUACGAGCGCACCCCUGUCGUUAGUUGCCAGCAAGUUAAGUUGGGCACUCUAGCGAGACUGCCAGUGCAAACUGUGAGGAAGGUGGGGAUGACGUCAAAUCAUCACGGCCCUUACGUCCUGGGCUACACACGUGCUACAAUGGUCGGUACAGAGAGCAGCCACUACGCGAGUAGGAGCGAAUCUAUAAAACCGAUCUCAGUUCGGAUCGCAGUCUGCAACUCGACUGCGUGAAGCUGGAAUCGCUAGUAAUCGGAUAUCAGCCAUGAUCCGGUGAAUACGUUCCCGGGCCUUGUACACACCGCCCGUCAAGCCAUGGAAGCUGGGAGUACCUGAAGUCGGUUACCGCAAGGAGCUGCCUAGGGUAAAACUGGUAACUGGGGCUAAGUCGUAACAAGGUAGCCGUACCGGAAGGUGCGGCUGGAUUAACUCCUUUUU
rnacentral:rRNA from 1 species